rnacentral:tRNA from 1 species
CCGUUGAUAGCUGAGUUGGUAAAGGGGUAGACUGUAAAGAAACCGAUUGCUGUCGUUCAUAGCCUUAGGUCGCUGGUUUUAAUCCGGCUCAGCGGU